rnacentral:rRNA from 1 species
GAUGAACGCUGGCGGCGUGCCUAAUACAUGCAAGUCGAACGAAACUUCUUUAUCACCGAGUGCUUGCACUCACCGAUAAAGAGUUGAGUGGCGAACGGGUGAGUAACACGUGGGCAACCUGCCCAAAAGAGGGGGAUAACACUUGGAAACAGGUGCUAAUACCGCAUAACCAUAGUUACCGCAUGGUAACAAUGUAAAAGGUGGCUAUACUACCGCUUUUGGAUGGGCCCGCGGCGCAUUAGCUAGUUGGUAGGGUAAAGGCUUACCAAGGCAAUGAUGCGUAGCCGAAUUGAGAGGUUGAUCGGCCACAUUGGGACUGAGACACGGCCCAAACUCCUACGGGAGGCAGCAGUAGGGAAUCUUCCACAAUGGGCGAAAGCCUGAUGGAGCAACGCCGCGUGGGUGAAGAAGGUCUUCGGAUCGUAAAACCCUGUUGUUAGAGAAGAAAGUGCGUGAGAGUAACUGUUCACGUUUCGACGGUAUCUAACCAGAAAGCCACGGCUAACUACGUG